GUGCUUAUUUUGGCACCACAUAUACUAAAAUUGAAACGAAACAGAGAAGAUUAGCAUGGGCCCUGCACAAGGAUGACACACAAAUUUGUGAAGCGUUCCAUAUUGGG